rnacentral:miRNA from 1 species
CAAUAGACAUUUAUUUUUCUCUCAGUACUAGAGGCUGGAAGUCCAAGAUCAAGGUGUUGGCAGGGUUGGUUUCUUCUGAGGUCUCCCUCCUUGGCUUGCAGAUGGCCACCUUCUUGCUGUGUCUUCACAUGGCCUUUU